GUGCAAUCUACUUUCAGUCCCGUGUGACGGCACAACCAAGCAUACAGUAGGAAGUCAACCCAGUAAAGGUGCAAUCUACUUUCAGUCCCGUGUGACGGCACAACCAAGCAUACAGUAGGAAGUCAACCCAGUACAGGUGCAAUCUACUUUCAGUCCCGUGUGACGGCACAACCAAGCAUACAGUAGGAAGUCAACCCAGUACAGGUGCAAUCUACUUUCAGUCUCGUGUGACGGCACAACCAAGCAUACAGUAGGAAGUCAACCCAGUAAAGGUGCAAUCUACUUUCAGUCCCGUGUGACGGCACAACCAAGCAUACAGUAGGAAGUCAACCCAGUAAAGGUGCAAUCUACUUUCAGUCCCGUGUGACGGCACAACCAAGCAUACAGUAGGAAGUCAACCCAGUAAAGGUGCAAUCUACUUUCAGUCCCGUGUGACGGCACAACCAAGCAUACAGUAGGAAGUCAAC
ensembl:lncRNA